CCUUCACUACGGAAUAGCCUCUGGAAACGGAGAGUAAUACCGUAUGCGCCCUUCGGGGAAAGAUUUAUCGGUGAAGGAUUAGCCCGCGUCUGAUUAGAUAGUUGGUGGGGCAACGGCCUACCAAGUCGACGAUCAGUAGCUGGUUUGAGAGGAUGAUCAGCAACACUGGGACUGAGACACGGCCCAGACUCCUACGGGAGGCAGCAGUGGGGAAUCUUAGACAAUGGGCGCAAGUGAUCUAGCCAUGCCGCGUGAGUGACGAAGGCCUUAGGGUCGUAAAGCUCUUUCGCCAGGGAUGAUAAUGACAGUACCUGGUAAAGAAACCCCGGCUAACUCCGUGCCAGCAGCCGCGGUAAUACGGAGGGGGUUAGCGUUGUUCGGAAUUACUGGGCGUAAAGCGCGCGUAGGGGAUUGGAAAGUUGGGGGUGAAAUCCCGGGGCUCAACCCCGAACUGCCUCCAAAACUAUCAGUCUAGAGUUCGAGAGAGGUGAGUGGAAUUCCAAGUGUAGAGGUGAAAUUCGUAGAUAUUUGGAGGAACACCAGUGGCGAAGGGGCUCACUGGCUCGAUACUGACGCUGAGGUGCGAAAGUGUGGGGAGCAAACAGGAUUAGAUACCCUGGUAGUCCACACCGUAAACGAUGAAUGCCAGACGUCGGGGGGCUUGCCUUCGGGUCACACCUAACGGAUUAAGCAUUCCGCCUGG
rnacentral:rRNA from 1 species